rnacentral:rRNA from 1 species
CACGUAGGCACCAAGCGUUGUCCGGAUUUAUUGGGCGUAAAGAGCUCGUAGGCGGUUCAGUAAGUCAGGUGUGAAAUCUUUGGGCUUAACCCAAAGCGUGCACUUGAUACUGCUGUGACUUGAGUUCGGUAGGGGAGUGGGGAAUUCCUAGUGUAGCGGUGAAAUGCGCAGAUAUUAGGAGGAACACCGGUGGCGAAGGCGCCACUCUGGGCCGAAACUGACGCUGAGGCGACGAAAGCGUGGGGAGCAAACAGGAUUAGAACUACCAGU